rnacentral:SRP_RNA from 1 species
UAAUAAGUACGGAGCAAUGUUUGUUUUGUGAAGCGAGUCAGAUCCUGACGGAAGCAGCUCUAAGCAGAGGAGACAUGUGCUCUUUUUUUUAUUUUCA